rnacentral:rRNA from 1 species
GGCGGCGUGCCUAUACAUGCAAGUCGAGCGGACCGACGGGAGCUUGCUCCCUUAGGUCAGCGGCGGACGGGUGAGUAACACGUGGGUAACCUGCCUGUAAGACUGGGAUAACUCCGGGAAACCGGGGCUAAUACCGGAUGCUUGAUUGAACCGCAUGGUUCAAUCAUAAAAGGCGGCUUCGGCUGCCGUUUACAGAUGGACCCGCGGCGCAUUAGCUAGUUGGUGAGGUAACGGCUCACCAAGGCGACGAUGCGUAGCCGACCUGAGAGGGUGAUCGGCCACACUGGGACUGAGACACGGCCCAGACUCCUACGGGAGGCAGCAGUAGGGAAUCUUCCGCAAUGGACGAAAGUCUGACGGAGCAACGCCGCGUGAGUGAUGAAGGUUUUCGGAUCGUAAAGCUCUGUUGUUAGGGAAGAACAAGUACCGUUCGAAUAGGGCGGUACCUUGACGGUACCUAACCAGAAAGCCACGGCUAACUACGUGCCAGCAGCCGCGGUAAUACGUAGGUGGCAAGCGUUGUCCGGAAUUAUUGGGCGUAAAGCGCGCGCAGGCGGUUUCUUAAGUCUGAUGUGAAAGCCCCCGGCUCAACCGGGGAGGGUCAUUGGAAACUGGGGAACUUGAGUGCAGAAGAGGAGAGU